ACCAGUAACUUUACUCAGUGCCUUAAAUGUACCAGAUCCCUUCUGAUCUUUUAAGUUAAGCAGGGUCAUCUUUGGUUAGUAUUCAGAUGGGAGAUUGUCGGUGAAUAGUGCUACUGGAC
rnacentral:rRNA from 11 species